rnacentral:lncRNA from 1 species
AUGUACAUCCAGUCUGAACUCAAGGUGGUGUUACUGCCAAGCACGCGUCUCUUUCAGCAGGUCCCAGGUCUGUUUAUACCAGAGCACUGUUCCAGCUCAGUGAACCUAAGCACAACCUUCUGUUUCUCUGUGACAUCGUCAGUGACAGAAGGAGCAACUUCUAAGAAUGCAAGAAGGAUUUACCACUGCUGUGCAGGUGCAAGCUCCGCUCUGCUUCCAAACAAAAUAUUUCCUAAAACAACAUUCAGGAAAAGCGAUCUCAGAGAAGCAGCAAGAGAAGAAAUCUAUGAGCUCAAUGGUUUCAAAUUUGACUUAGAACUACUUCAGGAAGAGCUUCAAAACAGACAGAUCGUGAAGCCAACUGCAAGUGACCCAAUUAUGUCCUAGAGGAGAAUUAUUUUGAGAGCCACUGCUACAAAGGGAAUGCUCAGCUAUUGUAGUCAGAAUAACUUUCAGCCCGGGGCUGAAGUGACAGCAGCAGCCUCUGGUACUCCUCCAAAUCAGCCCUUUCUAUUUGGUCUUUGGUCUGUCAACUGCCAUAAGCCCCACUGAGUAUCCCAGGAGCUGGCUGGCAAGAGGUGCUGCUGCACAUCCUGGUUCAGCUUGAAAGUCAUCAAAACUUUCUGAAGCUCCUUUUCCCAAUCAUUACCUACAUACAAACUCAGCAAUGCAAAGCUUUGCAUCAAACAAAUGCAGAUAAACACUUUAAAACAGCAGCAGUUAUAGUCUCUCCCACCCAGUAUAGCAGAUAGCU